ACGAGGCACUACGGUGCUGAAGCAACAAAUGCCCUGCUUCCAGGAAAAGCCUCUAAGCAUCAGGUAACAUCAAAUCGUACCCCAAACCGACACAGGUGGUCAGGUAGAGAAUACCAAGGCGCUUGAGAGAACUCGGGUGAAGGAGCUAGGCAAAAUGGUGCCGUAACUUCGGGAGAAGGCACGCUGAUAUGUAGGUGAGGUCCCUCGCGGAUGGAGCUGAAAUCAGUCGAAGAUACCAGCUGGCUGCAACUGUUUAUUAAAAACACAGCACUGUGCAAACACGAAAGUGGACGUAUACGGUGUGACGCCUGCCCGGUGCCGGAAGGUUAAUUGAUGGGGUUAGCGCAAGCGAAGCUCUUGAUCGAAGCCCCGGUAAACGGCGGCCGUAACGAUAACGGUCCUAAGGUAGCGAAAUUCCUUGUCGGGUAAGUUCCGACCUGCACGAAUGGCGUAAUGAUGGCCAGGCUGUCUCCACCCGAGACUCAGUGAAAUUGAACUCGCUGUGAAGAUGCAGUGUACCCGCGGCAAGACGGAAAGACCCCGUGAACCUUUACUAUAGCUUGACACUGAACAUUGAGCCUUGAUGUGUAGGAUAGGUGGGAGGCUUUGAAGUGUGGACGCCAGUCUGCAUGGAGCCGACCUUGAAAUACCACCCUUUAAUGUUUGAUGUUCUAACGUUGACCCGUAAUCCGGGUUGCGGACAGUGUCUGGUGGGUAGUUUGACUGGGGCGGUCUCCUCCUAAAGAGUAACGGAGGAGCACGAAGGUUGGCUAAUCCUGGUCGGACAUCAGGAGGUUAGUGCAAUGGCAUAAGCCAGCUUGACUGCGAGCGUGACGGCGCGAGCAGGUGCGAAAGCAGGUCAUAGUGAUCCGGUGGUUCUGAAUGGAAGGGCCAUCGCUCAACGGAUAAAAGGUACUCCGGGGAUAACAGGCUGAUACCGCCCAAGAGUUCAUAUCGACGGCGGUGUUUGGCACCUCGAUGUCGGCUCAUCACAUCCUGGGGCUGAAGUAGGUCCCAAGGGUAUGGCUGUUCGCCAUUUAAAGUGGUACGCGAGCUGGGUUUAGAACGUCGUGAGACAGUUCGGUCCCUAUCUGCCGUGGGCGCUGGAGAACUGAGGGGGGCCGCUCCUAGUACGAGAGGACCGGAGUGGACGCAUCACUGGUGUUCGGGUUGUCAUGCCAAUGGCACUGCCCGGUAGCUAAAUGCGGAAGAGAUAAGUGCUGAAAGCAUCUAAGCACGAAACUUGCCCCGAGAUGAGUUCUCCCUGACCCUUUAAGGGUCCUGAAGGAACGUUGAAGACGACGACGUUGAUAGGCCGGGUGUGUAAGCGCAGCGAUGCGUUGAGCUAACCGGUACUAAUGAACCGUGAGGCUUAACCUC
rnacentral:rRNA from 1 species